rnacentral:antisense_RNA from 1 species
CUUCACCGACCCCAGCCACAGCGGGUCGGAGCGGUCCUGGCCGUAGGUGGCGAGCAGGGCCUGCGCCUC